GACGAACGCUGGCGGCGUGCUUAACACAUGCAAGUCGAACGGAAAGGCCCUGCUUUUGUGGGGUGCUCGAGUGGCGAACGGGUGAGUAACACGUGAGUAACCUGCCCUUGACUUUGGGAUAACUUCAGGAAACUGGGGCUAAUACCGGAUAGGAGCUCCUACUGCAUGGUGUGGGUUGGAAAGUUUCGGCGGUUGUGGAUGGACUCGCGGCUUAUCAGCUUGUUGGUGGGGUAGUGGCUUACCAAGGCUUUGACGGGUAGCCGGCCUGAGAGGGUGACCGGGCACAUUGGGACUGAGAGACGGAGCAGACUCAUACGGGAGGCAGCAGUGGAGAAUAUUGCACAAUGGGCGGAAGCGUGAUGCAGCAACGCCGGGUGCGGGAUGACGGCCUUCGGGUUGUAAACAGAUGUCGCAGGUGACGAAGCGUGAGUGACGGUAAUGGGUAAAGAAGCAACGGCUAACUACGUG
rnacentral:rRNA from 1 species